rnacentral:rRNA from 1 species
AGUGGCGCACGGGUGAGUAACGCGUGGAUAUCUGCCUUUUGGUUCGGAAUAACCCCGGGAAACUGGGGCUAAUACCGGAUGGUUCCUUCGGGAUAAAGAUUUAUCGCCAAAAGAUGAGUCCGCGUCCGAUUAGCUAGUUGGUGAGGUAAUGGCUCACCAAGGCGACGAUCGGUAGCUGGUCUGAGAGGACGAUCAGCCACACUGGGACUGAGACACGGCCCAGACUCCUACGGGAGGCAGCAGUGGGGAAUAUUGGACAAUGGGGGCAACCCUGAUCCAGCCAUGCCGCGUGAGUGAUGAAGGCCUUCGGGUUGUAAAGCUCUUUUGGCGGGGACGAUGAUGACGGUACCCGCAGAAUAAGCCCCGGCUAACUUCGUGCCAGCAGCCGCGGUA